AGCAGCCAUCAACCUCUGCUCCCCCACUUCCCUCUGCAGAAAACAACACCGGUGAAUGCAGCCCCAUCCAAGCCUCUGAAGCAGAGGAAGGCAGCUCCAGUGAUCCCACCAGGCAAAGGUCAACUCCCCAGUUCUCCACAUCUUUGAGAAUCCGGAUGCAGGAAGAAAACCUGUAUGCCAAGUUUCCUCCUGAGACAUCAGUGUUGCAGCAGUUUAGAAAUCAUUUGGUUUCUGUGCUUCAGAUUCCAAACUGCCAGCAGGAGGUAGACAACGUGUCCACAAUGCUGAGGUACAUGCAGCCAACUGGAAAUGAGGUCAGCUUGGACUUCCUC